GUUUUAAUAGUUUAAAGAAAACUCUGGUCUUGUAAACCAGAAAUGAGAUUAUUCUCUUAAAACU
rnacentral:tRNA from 2 species